rnacentral:piRNA from 1 species
UCUCAGCAAAGUAUUGGGUAGAUGGACAGU